rnacentral:rRNA from 1 species
GGUGUUUCUGUAUGGAAAGGACAUCGCUCAAAGGAUAAAAGGUACUCCGGGGAUAACAGGCUGAUACCCCCCAAGAGUCCACAUCGACGGGGGUGUUUGGCACCUCGAUGUCGGCUCAUCGCAACCUGGGGCUGAAGUCGGUCCCAAGGGUUGGGCUGUUCGCCCAUUAAAGCGGUACGCGAGCUGGGUUCAGAACGUCGUGAGACAGUUCGGUCCCUAUCUGCCGUGGGUGUACGAGACUUGAGAGGAUCUGUCCCUAGUACGAGAGGACCGGGAUGGACGAACCUCUGGUG